rnacentral:lncRNA from 1 species
CGAUCAUUAACAGUACUUCAGCGUGUAUUAGGACCUGCCUUUAUGCAAUGGCAUCGGUCCUAGGCAUAAGUCCAAGUAGCAUCCUUGCCUCAAAAUGAUAAUGUAGCCUUUUCUUCCAAAUUUUGUCCCUCGGCUCAGCUCUUUGAUUAGCACAACAACUGAGAGCUCUUCCAUUUGUUAAUCAGCUAGGAUUUGUAAGCUCC